rnacentral:rRNA from 1 species
UACGGGGGGGGUAAGCGUUGUUCGGAAUUACUGGGCGUAAAGGGCUCGUAGGCGGCCAACUAAGUCAUACGUGAAAUCCCUCAGCUUAACUGGGGAACUGCGUGUGAUACUGGAUGGCUUGGAUUUGGGAGAGGGAUGCGGAAUUCCAGGUGUAGCGGUGAAAUGCGUAGAGAUCGGGAGGAAUACCGGUGGCGAAAGCGACUCUCUGGACGGCAACUGACGCUGAGGCACGAAAGCGUGGGGAGCAAACAGG